UGCAUGAAAAGUUCUUCCCUGUAGCAUGUAGAUUACCAUGGUUACAGGAAGGCAAUCCUAAAAUUAAUGAUGAUUCAUACAACAUGUAAGAUCUACAUACCACAGGGCAAAACUUUUUUUAUGUGCUGCUCGUCGAACGUCUUAGCCAGAAACUGUCAAUUCUGAUCCAAUAUAAUAUAUGUAAUAGCAUAAACAAUAUAGAGGCAUUGGGUGUUAAUGCAAUCACAUUUAUCUUAAUGCUGAUUUAGAGAAAAAUAAUUGCCUCUAGACUUGAUUUGUAUUGAAAUGUUAUUCAAUUAUUUUUCAAGACUAUCAGUUAUUAUAAAAAUAAAAAUUCAAUAAACUUUAAUUAAGCAUAUUACGUAUGUAACUUUGCAACAUUCUAGGAGUAAUUAUUGUUUACCUGUCUUAAGGUAAUGAUCAGAUAUUCUGUUGUGGAAGAAACAAUACAUAAACUCAAUAUGCGUACAGAUUCAACUUUUUUAAGUAUGCA